UACGGAGGGUGCUAGCGUUGUUCGGAAUCACUGGGCGUAAAGCGCACGUAGGCGGAUUGUUAAGUCAGGGGUGAAAUCCUGGAGCUCAACUCCAGAACUGCCCUUGAUACUGACGGUCUCGAGUCCGGGAGAGGUGAGUGGAACUGCGAGUGUAGAGGUGAAAUUCGUAGAUAUUCGCAAGAACACCAGUGGCGAAGGCGGCUCACUGGCCCGGUACUGACGCUGAGGUGCGAAAGCGUGGGGAGCAAACAGG
rnacentral:rRNA from 1 species